GGAGAUGGUAAAGCUAUAGAAGAAGUUAUCCCAUGGAUGGUGGUCUCGUAGAUUAAUUAGCUUGACCCUCCCUCCCUCUCUCUAUAUACGUACAGCAUAAGAAAAUUGACACCCAACAUGCAUGCCCCCCUACUGUAAUCGCUCAAGGAAAGAAGAGAAUUACUUGACGGCAGGCAGGCGAAGAUUUUAAAUGCUGUGCAAAUGCAAAUCUAGGCUAGGAACAAUAACAAAUUUGUUUAAUUAAUUAGUCGGUGCAGGGGAGAAUCUGACAGGCCACCAACCUUGGACUGCAUGCAUCCCAGAACCAGCACCAGCCGUUUCCGUUCCUUCCCUCCCUUCCUCCUUGCGCGUGAAAAUUGGACGGACAGCAGUGGAGGUGACACUGAGAGCGACGGAUACGGCCGAGAAAUUAUUGUAGGGGGUGGCGCACAUCACGUCCUUUCCGGCGCGAUCUCUCUAUCUCUCUCACACUUUUCUCUCUUUAUCAUCAGAAACAGGCUCGACCUAAAAACACGCCAUGAUUCCCCGCUAAUGCCGCUGCCGUUGCUCUGUUGGGUGGUGAUGACUGGUUGUUGUUGAGCCUCCGUUUCGACCAGAACCAGAAACGGGAGCCGUGGUUGCACAACCUGUGCUCUCUGCAGCGCGCAAUUAGAUAUUCAGACAUGGAUGAAUGGAAGAUGGCAGGCAGCACAAGCAAAGCAAGCGAGUACCCGUGCAAAUUGCAACCGAUGGCAUCUAUAUCUAGCUCCCUUUGUUGUUAAAGCGAAUAGGAAGACAGGCAUGGCAUAUUGGCAUAUACUCUACUAUAUAAAAUUGCACAACACAAGUGUCCAUGGUAA
rnacentral:lncRNA from 7 species